UAAACGACUCUCGGCAACGGAUAUCUCGGCUCACGCAUCGAUGAAGAACGUAGCAAAAUGCGAUACUUGGUGUGAAUUGCAGAAUCCCGUGAACCAUCGAGUUUUUGAACGCAAGUUGCGCCNGAAGCCAUUCGGCCGAGGGCACGUCUGCCUGGGCGUCACGC
rnacentral:rRNA from 1 species